rnacentral:lncRNA from 1 species
UUCACCGUGUUCAAACACGGUGAAUGGUUCACCGUGUCUAAACACGGUGAACUGUUCACCGUCUCUAAACACGGUGAAUGGUUCACCGUGUCCAAUGUAUUAUAUAUACAUCACUUGGCCUUGCGUCCAAGCCAGAGGGAGAGAGCCCGUCUGUAUAAUACAUGAAAGAGGGGGGAACCAAUCACCGUGUCUUUAACACGGUGAAUGGUUCACCGUGUCUAAACAUGGUGUUCACCGUGUUCAAUAGCACUACCAGCACUUAGCCAUUUUUCUUAGCGCAAAAAACCAGAUCAACAGUACAAUACAACAUCACAACGAGAUCAUCACAACAGUACAAUACACCAUCACAACGCAACAACAAAUUCAAUGCAACAAUAUAAGUAAUUCAGCAUUAACAAUACAACAACAAAUCCGACAGAAUAUCAAUAAAGCAUCAAUACCAGAUAAUCACAACAGAAUAUUAAAAAUUAAAACAAGUUUUUCAAUAAUAUAGAAAUAUAGUAUCAUGUUCUCCUCCUACUCCCUCGACCACGUCGCCUACCACGUCCGCGACCACGAUCAACACCAUGCUCAUCAAAAGGCUCUAAGAUCUCCAACUGGUCGAGAUACUCGAUAGCAGCACCCUCAAUAACCGGCUGAGUGUCCUGCGUCUCGAUCACCCAUCCGAUCUCGUGCUCAAUCAUAGCAGGUGUCGGUAGUAUGUCUGGCCGUGGAGGAGCUAAAGAGGAGGGUUGAUCUGUAUGAAGAUACCGCAUUUGUCGUCGGCGCCUAUGAUAAACAAUAUCAACUGGCCGAGGUGAAUCCUCUGGUACUGGUGCUGG